CUGCGCUUGUCUUGAGACUAAACACCUACUAUUAGCAAAAUCCUAGCCGGCAACAUAAUUUUUUACGGAUAUUCAUCGUCUUUUCACAACUCCUCCGAGGUUUCGACAGCAUUCAAAGGAAAUCUUCACCACUUGCGGGAUAAGACGAGCAAAUAAGAAACGCAUCUUCCUCUUGGUAACUUUCAGGAGGUUUAAUGGGAGAAAAAUCGUUCUAACAUGAGAGUAAAAAGGCUUGCAGCUCGUUUAAAAGUAAAGAGACCUAGAUUACUGGCAAUUAAAAAGCUGAAUAACGCAGUACAGGCAGCAUCUCAGAAUUGUGUCAAGACUCUGGAGGAAAUCGGCGUUUAUGCCGAUAUGACCAAUAUCGAAUUUGAACAAAACCAUCAUCAACCUUUCCCCUUUCGGAAUGAUUCUGAAGGGGCGGCGUCGAAUUCUUCAGAGCAGGAUCAAGAGCCCAGAAUGUUCGCGAUGUUCCAUACCGGACGUCCAAGAUCGGAUGUUCAGCUCGGCGAAACAGUUUACUGCGAAUGUCAACUGUGUUGUGUAGACGUGGACGGCGAUUCCUACUCUUUCCAAACGAAAGAAAGUUUAUAAUAUAUCCGAAAAAAUCAACCAACACCUAACAGAUUCCGUCCAUUUCAAUUUAAAUAUGCUUAGUGAAAUAAAUUAUGAGCAACUUAUCUGGCGAUGAUUUUUUAAUUGGCAGAAACAACUUUAA